AUUCCACACAGGAAGGCCAGAGCAGGAUUCUAACCCACGACCUCUGCACUGUGAGGCGGAUGUGGUAAGCAGUCGAUCACCAUGCUGCAAAAUGAAUCAGAAUUUAAAGCUAAAAUUCUUUUUCUAUUUGCUUGGAACAGUCCAAUGCCAAAUGCCUUUUACAUUGUAAUCAAUCGUUUUAGUUUGGUAUGAAAAACAACAAUAAAUAUGAAAAUCAUCAACUACCAUCACAGUUUACAAAUGUUACAGAACAAAGGAACGGCUCAUUGGCAGUUUUGGAACUGCCAACGUCCAUCGAAGUCCAAGGGGUGAAAAAACAGACAAGUCAAUGGUCCCUUUUUUCUUUCUCAGUUAUGUGGAUGAUGAAUCCAAAUAAUCAUCAGCCAUCUCAUCGAACUCAACACAAACAUCCGAAAGCGUUCACUCCACCCGCAAGCGCCUCAGGACAAGACGAAGGCACCUAUGACUCAAUGAGGGCUGGAGGAGGGGUGAUAGCACUUGUGGUCCGCUGACAGAGGCUUGAGCUUUCUAUACGACACAAGCCAUCUGCUAGUGUGUGUGUGUGUGUGUGUGUGUGUGUCCACAGGCUAUGUGAUAUAAACAAAAUACCUCACAAUUUACACAUACAGAAAUUGAGGGUAAUCAAUCCAACCUCACUGCAAGUCCAAACUUUCACAAUAGCCUUUUCAGAGACCCAUUAGCUUCGCGACACUUACUUUGGCUGUUGAAUGAAUUGUGUUUGGUCUAAAAAGGGCUUCAAACGUGGUCCAGAGAUGGGCUACAGUGUCAAAGCUGUGUUGUUGUGUCUUGGUCUUUGGCAUGAAUACCACAUGUUGGUUUCAUAUGUUGACACAGAACCAACUGCGACCACUGUUGACAGACUGAGUGCUGAUAAUGACAUGUCUAAUUCAUUUAAACGUGAUGAGGUACAAAUUGAACUCAGAUGAAGACAGUGAUGUCUGUUUUAAAUAGUCAAAAAAGGAAUAGCCAAUAUAUUCAUUACCAUUUGAGGAAACCUAUUUGCAUAUUUCCUAUUUCCAUUUCAAAGAGACUUUUGAAGAUACAAAUUCCAAAUAUCAUUUUUGGAAUGGAACACAAAUGCCACCCCUAAAUCAGGAAUAGGCUCCAGUUCCUCGCAAAACAGAACAAGCCUCUGACGGAUGAUGAACGAUGGACCGGCAAAUUUUUGUAAAUUGCGCAUCUCUGCUCUUCUGAUAUCGUUUAAUGAGAAAAGAUUUAUCUAUUGUACUAUCAUAGUUAUAGUGUUGUAUGUUUGAUUGUUCUCAAGCACUUCCUUAGAGCUGCUAUUACUUUUUGAUAUUGUGUAAAUAACCCAAGGUGGGCAUCAUCAGUCCGGUGUAUCUGUCAGUGAGUUUUCGUGAGUAUUUCAGGCUGGGCCAGCCUGAAAGGAAUUGUCAGCGACAGCCAAACAGCAUUGGGAAGGUACUUAAAUGGCAUUAGGUCACACGCAGGUGCAGCACACCUGACACGCAGUCAAAUACUGAAAAAAAAUAAAAAAGUCUUGUUUACCUUUCAGCCCCACAGACCUCAAUAACAUGUGUGCCAUUUACCGUAUUUUCCGCUCAAUAAGGCGCACCUUCAAUCUUCGCAAAAGCCCACAGUGCUCCAUGUUAUCCAAUGCGCCUUAUAUAUGGUGGUAACAAUCUCUUUGUAUUCCUCAAUGACUUGUUUCCCUGUUAGUGUUCCUAUGCCAUCUAGGGGUGAUUAUUAGCAGGAACCAAUUGUAACCUAAAAGGGUUCCGCCCGACACUAAUUGACGUGUGUAUUCGCCAACUCAGACUCAAACAAUCAGACAACUACUUUGUGAGCUCUGCCCAGCCAUUAUGAAAGGAAGAUAAUACCCAAAGUAGUAACUAGUAAUAGUAAAUAGUAACAGACUAAAUCAGGGCUGUCAAACUCAUUUCACAAUGUGGGCCACAUACGGCCUCGGUAGAUGUCAAGUGGGCCGGACCAUUAAAAUUAUACAAUACUCUGUUAUAAAUAACUAAAAUAAAAUGCCUUUCCUUUGUAUUGGUCUGAAGAAGCACAAGAAGAUUAGGAAAAUGUUGACAUUUAAUGAACAUAUCUUACAAAACAUGUCAUGUAGCACCUUAGAUUUCCUUAGACAAAUGUGCAAUUUACUUUUAUCAUUUACAUAUAUGCAUUGAAACUGAUCCCACGGAUUGUACAAAGGCACAAGACUUUCACAAGUAAUAUGAUAUUGAAAAAUAUAGUAAUUCAUUUUAAGAUUAAACAAGAUUUAUAAAGAAAGGAAUUUUAAAACCAUUUACACAUGUGCAUAUGAAACCUAAAUGUAAUCCCUGCCCACACCUUACAAACCAAGGAGAGUGCUAUUAAAUGUGUAAAGAAUAAAGUAUUCACAUGUCCUUGAUAGCAUCUGCUGUGUUGGGUCUGUCUCAGUGACAGACUGAGGCUGCUGUUGUCUUCUUCUCGGAUCAAAACAAUAUUGUCUUCUAUUCUGAUCAAAAUAGUGUGUCCAAUCGCGGAUACUCCAUGAAUUUUAUUGAAAAUAUUAAUUCCGUGUCUUAAUGCAUUUUUUCACGUUUAAAUUAUCCUGCGGGCCUGACUGAACCUCCUUGGGGCCGGUUCCGGCCCUUGGGCCGGAUGUUUGACACCAAUGGACUAAAUGAAGGAAGGAGACAGGCGAGACUGCUAAGGAUAUUUAGCCCCUUGUCAAUGUGCGACCACAAGGUCUGCGUUCGUGACCAUUUGUCACGGCUUGCCAAUGGAUAAACCCUGUAUUUUUAUGGACUUUGUGUCAUGCUUCAUGCUAUAUCCUGAGGGAGCUACAUAUGGAUGGGCUGCAAAGGGCUGGGAAGCAGUUCAGGGUGUUCCGCGCCGACUACCUGAAGACAGCUGGGACAGGCUCCAGCACUCGCGCGACCCUUGUGAGGAUAAGCAUAUGAGAAAAUGAAUGAAUGAAUGAAUGAACGGAUACUCAGUGACAUGUCAGUACGUCGAGCUUUCUCCCAGUCUGAGUGUCAAAUCUCUUUCAUGCCUUCUACAUCCAGCCCUGCUCUCUGUAGUUACUUUGUAUUUUCAUUGAUAAAGAUAUGCCAGCUGCCAUGAACUGGUUGCCAGACAAUCGCAGGGCACACAUCGACGAACAACCAUCCGCGCUCAGACUCACAGUUAGGGACAAUUUAGACUGUUCCAUUAAUCUGCCAUACAUGUCUUUGGAAUGUGGGAGGUAACCGGAGUACCCGGAGAAAACCCAUGGAGAACAUGCAAACUCCACACAAGAAGGUCGGAGCCGGAAUCGAACCCUGCACCUUUCCACUGUGAGGCCGACGCGCUAACCAGUCGACGACCAGACUUGUGAUUCAUUGUUUUAGGUUUACCCACAGAGUUUGUAAAUAUGAAUGGUUCUUUGCCUAUUUGUGUCCAGUGAUUGACAAGUGACCAAUCCUGGGUGUAUCCCACCUCUUGCCCUUAUAUCAGCUCAGUUUUUGUUUCUAACCGUACACAGGAAUAGUUGUUAUGAUUGCAUUGUUGUAGAUAUUUUUGAAAUGUGUUGUUGUUGUUUUAUGUAAAAUGCUGUGGAAAGCACUUUGUUACAGCUGCAGCUGUUGUGAAAGCGCUACAUAAAUAAAGGAUGUGUUGUAUUGUA